UCUGCCCUUCACUCUGGGACAAGCCCUGGAAACGGGGUCUAAUACCGGAUAACACUCUGUCCCGCAUGGGACGGGGUUAAAAGCUCCGGCGGUGAAGGAUGAGCCCGCGGCCUAUCAGCUUGUUGGUGGGGUAAUGGCCUACCAAGGCGACGACGGGUAGCCGGCCUGAGAGGGCGACCGGCCACACUGGGACUGAGACACGGCCCAGACUCCUACGGGAGGCAGCAGUGGGGAAUAUUGCACAAUGGGCGAAAGCCUGAUGCAGCGACGCCGCGUGAGGGAUGACGGCCUUCGGGUUGUAAACCUCUUUCAGCAGGGAAGAAGCGAAAGUGACGGUACCUGCAGAAGAAGCGCCGGCUAACUACGUGCCAGCAGCCGCGGUAAUACGUAGGGCGCAAGCGUUGUCCGGAAUUAUUGGGCGUAAAGAGCUCGUAGGCGGCUUGUCACGUCGGAUGUGAAAGCCCGGGGCUUAACCCCGGGUCUGCAUUCGAUACGGGCUAGCUAGAGUGUGGUAGGGGAGAUCGGAAUUCCUGGUGUAGCGGUGAAAUGCGCAGAUAUCAGGAGGAACACCGGUGGCGAAGGCGGAUCUCUGGGCCAUUACUGACGCUGAGGAGCGAAAGCGUGGGGAGCGAACAGGAUUAGAUACCCUGGUAGUCCACGCCGUAAACGUUGGGAACUAGGUGUUGGCGACAUUCCACGUCGUCGGUGCCGCAGCUAACGCAUUAAGUUCCCCGCCUGGGGAGUACGGCCGCAAAGCUAAAACUCAAAGGAAUUUGACGGGGGGCCGCACAAGCAGCGGAGGCUGUGGCUUAAUUCGACGCAACGCGAAGAACCUUACCAAGGCUUGACAUAUACCGGAAAGCAUCAGAGAUGGUGCCCCCCUUGUGGUCGGUAUACAGGUGGUGCAUGGCUGUCGUCAGCUCGUGUCGUGAGAUGUUGGGUUAAGUCCCGCAACGAGCGCAACCCUUGUUCUGUGUUGCCAGCAUGCCCUUCGGGGUGAUGGGGACUCACAGGAGACUGCCGGGGUCAACUCGGAGGAAGGUGGGGACGACGUCAAGUCAUCAUGCCCCUUAUGUCUUGGGCUGCACACGUGCUACAAUGGCCGGUACAAUGAGCUGCGAUGCCGCGAGGCGGAGCGAAUCUCAAAAAGCCGGUCUCAGUUCGGAUUGGGGUCUGCAACUCGACCCCAUGAAGUCGGAGUUGCUAGUAAUCGCAGAUCAGCAUUGCUGCGGUGAAUACGUUCCCGGGCCUUGUACACACCGCCCGUCACGUCACGAAAGUCCGUAACACCCGAACCGGUGGCCCAAACCCC
rnacentral:rRNA from 1 species